rnacentral:rRNA from 1 species
UGGUGGGUAGUUUGACUGGGGCGGUCUCCUCCUAAAGAGUAACGGAGGAGCACGAAGGUUGGCUAAUCCUGGUCGGACAUCAGGAGGUUAGUGCAAUGGCAUAAGCCAGCUUGACUGCGAGCGUGACGGCGCGAGCAGGUGCGAAAGCAGGUCAUAGUGAUCCGGUGGUUCUGAAUGGAAGGGCCAUCGCUCAACGGAUAAAAGGUACUCCGGGGAUAACAGGCUGAUACCGCCCAAGAGUUCAUAUCGACGGCGGUGUUUGGCACCUCGAUGUCGGCUCAUCACAUCCUGGGGCUGAAGUAGGUCCCAAGGGUAUGGCUGUUCGCCAUUUAAAGUGGUACGCGAGCUGGGUUUAGAACGUCGUGAGACAGUUCGGUCCCUAUCUGCCGUGGGCGCUGGAGAAUUGAGGGGGGCUGCUCCUAGUACGAGAGGACCGGAGUGGACGCAUCACUGGUGUUCGGGUUGUCAUGCCAAUGGCACUGCCCGGUAGCUAAAUGCGGAAGAGAUAAGUGCUGAAAGCAUCUAAGCACGAAACUUGCC